UCAAACACGACAUGCGCAGAACGCGUUGUAAAUGUAAAAUAUGGGAUAGCCCCAUUGAGUCUAAUAGAACUCAAUUGAUAGCCCUAUAUCAAAAUUUUGUCUUUUGAGGCAAGGAAGACGUAUGAAAUGGCUUGUCGUCCUAAUGUUUACGAAAGUGGAUAUGAAGAAUCGAGAUUUAAGACUGUUGUUGAUGAAAAUUUUUACUGUUCAAUUUGUCUGAAUGUCAUGAAAGAUGCCAGAAUGUGCCAUAAUCAACACAGUUUUUGUCGUGAAUGUAUUGAAGAACAUCUACGAGUUAAUGCACAAAGAUGUCCUCAAUGUCAAGAUGAUUUAACUGUAGCUACGCUUCAUCCAGCGCGUGUUAUAAAUAAUAUGAUUUCAAAGUUAAAGAUCAACUGCGACUACGCCAGUCGUGGUUGUCCUGAAUUAUAAAUGUCGAAGAUCUUGAAAGACAUGUUGAAAAUUGUGGCUUUGCUCCAGUGUUGUGUUCUAAUGAACGUUGUGGUCUGGAAAUAAACAAACGAGACAAGAUUAAACAUGAAACUGAAUUAUGUGAAUACAGAAAGAUUGCUUCUCACGACUUUCGAGAGAUUAGCGAAAUGUUUCAACGAAGUUUUGAAGACAAAAUGGAAAUGCAAAUGAACAACAAGCAGGAAAAUAGACGAAAAAUUUUUUGAAGUAAAAGAUUCCGUGAAACCAUUGACAUCUCAGUAUAAA